rfam:Schistosoma curassoni strain Dakar, Senegal genome assembly, scaffold: SCTD_scaffold0005385
ACCCAGCUGACAAGUUCCAAAUAGGAUGAAACACGCGUCUUGUAU